AGAUAUUGAAGUAAAAUUUUUACAUUUAGUUUCGACCUAAAAUUAGGAAUCAUCCCUUAUCUA
rnacentral:tRNA from 1 species